AUUGAACGCUGGCGGCAUGCCUUACACAUGCAAGUCGAACGGUAACAGGUCAAGCUGACGAGUGGCGAACGGGUGAGUAAUAUAUCGGAACGUGCCCAGUCGUGGGGGAUAACGUAGCGAAGCUGCGCUAAUACCGCAUACGAUCUCUGGAUGAAAGCGGGGGACUCGCAAGAGCCUCGCGCGAUUGGAGCGGCCGAUAUCAGAUUAGGUAGUUGGUGGGGUAAAAGCCCACCAAGCCGACGAUCUGUAGCUGGUCUGAGAGGACGACCAGCCACACUGGGACUGAGACACGGCCCAGACUCCUACGGGAGGCAGCAGUGGGGAAUUUUGGACAAUGGGCGAAAGCCUGAUCCAGCCAUGCCGCGUGCAGGACGAAGGCCUUCGGGUUGUAAACUGCUUUUGUACGGAACGAAACGGCUCUCUCUAAUACGGGGGGCUAAUGACGGUACCGUAAGAAUAAGCACCGGCUAACUCUGUGCCAGCCGCCGCAGUAA
rnacentral:rRNA from 1 species